rnacentral:misc_RNA from 1 species
AAUUCUCAACUCUACCAGUUUUCUGUGUAGAGCUUGGAUAUGGAGGCCGUGCAGAAUGCUCACGCGUACUGCUCCUCUCAAAUGGAUUAGCGAGUUCACUGGACUCCGUCUAUUGGUGUGAUAAUUAUCUACGCCGUGGAUUGGGUUUAGACUUGCUUCUAACCGUCCGCAAGGACAAUAUUUGACA